rnacentral:lncRNA from 1 species
ACCCUUGCCACUUCAUCGUCCCUUUGCUUUACUAGACUUCACGUUAUCGGCUUUUCUAGAUUGUUUCUAUUUAUCUUUUCUUCUCAUAUCCCCAUUUUAGAAUUUUCUUAUCGAAGCCCUAAACUCUGGGAGAUGGAGCUACAUCGCUGUAAAUUAUCCAUGUCUUCAAUGCAAGCCUAAUGGGGAAAUGUAAGGAUCUUAAGUUUUAUCUGUGUGUGCA